CCGGCUUACACAUGCAGUCGAGCGCCCCGCAAGGGGAGCGGCAGACGGGUGAGUAACGCGUGGGAACGUACCAUUUGCUACGGAAUAACUCAGGGAAACUUGUGCUAAUACCGUAUGUGCCCGAAAGGGGA
rnacentral:rRNA from 1 species